rnacentral:rRNA from 1 species
UACGUAGGGUGCGAGCGUUAAUCGGAAUUACUGGGCGUAAAGCGUGCGCAGGCGGUUUUGUAAGCCGGAUGUGAAAUCCCCGGGCUUAACCUGGGAAUGGCAUUCGGGACUGCAAGGCUGGAGUGCGGCAGAGGAGACUGGAAUUCCUGGUGUAGCAGUGAAAUGCGUAGAUAUCAGGAGGAACACCGAUGGCGAAGGCAGGUCUCCGGGCUGACACUGACGCUCAUGCACGAAAGCGUGGGGAGCAAACAGG